CAGGACGAACGCUGGCGGCGUGCCUAACACAUGCAAGUCGAGCGGGGACAUACGACGGAGUCAAAGUUUCGGAUGGAGACGAAGAUGUAUGUUCUAGCGGCGGACGGGUGAGUAACGCGUGAGCAGCCUGUCCCUUACAGGGGGAUAACACAGCGAAAGUUGUACUAAUACCGCAUGAGACCACGGGAGGACAUCCUCCAGGGGUCAAAGGAGCAAUCCGGUAAGGGGUGGGCUCGCGUCCGAUUAGAUAGUUGGUGAGGUAACGGCCCACCAAGUCGACGAUCGGUAGCCGACCUGAGAGGGUGAUCGGCCACAUUGGGACUGAGACACGGCCCAAACUCCUACGGGAGGCAGCAGUGGGGAAUAUUGGGCAAUGGGGGGAAACCCUGACCCAGCAACGCCGCGUGAGGGAAGAAGGUUUUCGGAUCGUAAACCUCUGUCCUUGGUGAAGAGGAAGAGACGGUAGCCAAGGAGGAAGCCCCGGCUAACUACGUGCCAGCCGCAGC
rnacentral:rRNA from 1 species